CGGGGGCCCGCACAAGCGGUGGAGCAUGUGGUUUAAUUCGAUGCAACGCGAAGAACCUUACCUACUCUUGACAUCCAGAGAAGCCAGCAGAGAUGCAGGUGUGCCUUCGGGAACUCUGAGACAGGUGCUGCAUGGCNGUCGUCAGCUCGUGUUGUGAAAUGUUGGGUUAAGUCCCGCAACGAGCGCAACCCUUAUCCUUNUUUGCCAGCACGUAAUGGUGGGAACUCCAGGGAGACUGCCGGUGAUAAACCGGAGGAAGGUGGGGANGACNNCAAGUCAUCAUGGCCCUUACGAGUAGGGCUACACACGUGCUACAAUGGUGCAUACAGAGGGAAGCAAGAGCGCGAGCUGGAGCGGAUCCCAAAAAGUGCAUCGUAGUCCGGAUUGGAGUCUGCAACUNGACUCCAUGAAGUCGGAAUCGCUAGUAAUCGUGGAUCAGAANGNCACGGUGAAUACGUUCCCGGGCCUUGUACACCCGCCCGUCAUCUUGCUGAAAA
rnacentral:rRNA from 1 species